rnacentral:rRNA from 1 species
UACAUAGGUCACAAGCGUUAUCCGGAGUUACUGGGCGUAAAGAGUCCGUAUCCUGUUUUGUAAGUCUGAUUUCAAAUACCACUACUCACUAGUGGAAAGGGGUCGGAUACUGCAAAGCUGGAGGAAUUUGGAGGUUAGUGGAAUUACUGGUGGAGGGGUGAAAUCCGUUGAUAUCAGUAAGAAUGCCAAAAGCGAAAGCAGCUAACUAUGAAUUUCUGACGGUCAAGGACGAGAGCUUGGGGAUCAAACGGG